rnacentral:lncRNA from 1 species
GACAGAGAUAGACCCUCCCCUCUCGGAAAAGAACAAAAACAGUGCUCUCAUCUGGAAGAAGCUCUCAUCUUCAACAGAGCAACCAUGACCCCUCCCCUUUGAUCCUCUAAAAAGAAACGCAGCAGCGGCGCAACAAAGGGCCAAAAAACGGGAUAAUCAGUCCCUUCUUCUUCUCCAUCUUCUUCACUCUCUCUAAUGGCUGUCACCGUCGACUCAGGUCAGUGACCAUCGACGACCACACUGCACCCAUGCUCUUCCUCUCUUAUUCUCACCGGUAAGUUAAGGCCAGAAUCAGGCCAGCCACCGAACCCCCAUGAUUUCCUCCUCCGGAAAGACUCCUUUUCUUGAAUAAUAUAUAUAAAAAAUAAUAACAAAAAGAGAAGAUUGGAAAAGCUGGUCUGAUUUCAAAUGCUAUGGUUCAAAAAUUUCUGGUGGAUUGAGUCAAUUUCGGACCUAAAUCGAAGUUGUGUUGUUGUUUGUGCAUUGCUGGACUCUUCUUGUCUUCGCGCGCUUCGUUUGGCUUGUAAAUAUUUCGUUUGGUUGGCUUCAAAUUAGCUGAGUUUGAUCGUCUGGAUUUCAGACCUUUAUUUGGUCUCAGUUUCCAUUGAUUUCCUGUUUUAGGUAAGUUACACUCGUCUGUAAUCACUUAUUGAAUUUAUGACUGGAACAUGAGUUUGUUUAUGCUAAAUUACUGUUUCUACUUAUGUUUUCGAAAUGGUAUGUUCAAUUUGAAAUCAUUUGUCAUCUUAGUUGAGCUUUGCUUCUAGUGCUGAUGUUAGUGAUAUUGAUUCAAUUUGUGGUUUGAAGUUAGAAUCGAUUAGUCCAUGGAUUUGACCACUAGUUGGUCAAAUUCAACAACUGAAGGAGUCCCAAGACCAAAUCAAGCCAUUAUGAGACGUCGUGAGCUAAUGUUUGUCAAGUUUAAAGGCGUUGUGGAUGAAAUUGAAGGUUACAACUAUUAUAGCAAUUCAUCAAGUGUAGUAAACUUAAUCAGUCAGGAUUAUAUAGUUUGCUUUCUUAUUAUAGUUGUAAUCUAAUAAAAAAAAGUCAUUUAGUUGUAAUUUGAAGUUUCCCUUAUAUGUGUAGUUCAUCUUUAAUUCCUGAAUAUUUGUUUGAUAAAAUGAUUCAAAUUAGUAUGAAUGUUUAAGCUGUUGUUUCGUUUUUAUAUUCAUUGGUAAAUUGAGAAGUAGUAAAUAGACUUAACUAGAUGUUUGGAAAUUUGUUAAUCAGACCAGGAGAUGAAAGAGUAAUUCGUCUUUUCCAGUACUUGUAAAUGUUGAUGAAACGAGAAAGAGAAGAAGGAUGAGUGAGUUGCCUUUAGAAGUGGAUCUUUAUUUCUAUCAACGUACUUGAUCAUUGAG